AUGGUCAUGCCACAUUGAAAACUCCGGGUUUAGCGUCCCAUCACCAAAGUUAAGCAUUGACGGCUCCGGUCAGUACUUGAAAGGGUGACCAGCGGUUUCUAUUUC